GAGAGGCUGGGAGGCAAGGUCAAGGCAAAGGUUUGCAUUUCCAUCUGUAAUGUCAAAAAACCACUUUUUAUGCUACUGAAAAUACCAGUAACAUACAAUGAGGAGUUUUACAACCCUAUAAAGAACAUGCUGCUGCUGCUUUAUUGCUGUACUAUGUAUAUGUGCUAAUAUUUCAUGAAGUUUAUAGUAUGUUUUCAGCUACACAAAGCACAAAGGUGUAGGAAACUGCCUAAAAUGGGCAAUAGGAGAUUAUAGAUUCAGAUGUGGCCUCUUCUCACAAGACUGAGGCAAAGCUAGCUCCCAAACCAGAAGAAGACUGUGUCCCUCUAUUCACAGAACUAGCGAACUGGAGCGUUGGAAGGGACCUUGAGGGUCACUAGCCCAACCCCCUGCAAGGCCGGAUCUCAACUAAAGCUUCCAUGACAGAUGCAUAUCAAAUAUAUUGAAUGUUCUUGUAGCAGAGGCCAGACCUAAGUGGUGGGUUGCAUGCGCAGACUCCUGGAUCCUCCCUCUUGGCUGAACAGCUGCAAAGUGGCAUUAUGGGUGAUUUGCAAGAGAGAAACACUGCAGUGAAUGGAAGGGGAAUGGGUUGACAGCUUCCUUAAUGUAUGACCCUGGAAUUCUGGAUCCCCCAUCACAUAAACUGAUGCCAAAGUUUAGUGCUAGUUUACCCUAGGAGACCAAGUCCAGUAUACCUCUUUCCAUAAGUAGCUAAUUUCUGAAUUUAACUUUUUAUAUGGUUUUAUGUAUAAUAGUUGUAAAACCACUCUGUUUUUUUUUAUGAAUAGCAGUAUAUAUAAAUAUUCUGAUCGCCAAAGAAUUGAUGCUUUUGAAUUAUGGUGCUGGAGGAGACUCUUGAGAGUCCCAUGGAUUGCAAGAAGAUCAAACCUCUCCAUUCUUAAGGAAAUCAGCCCUGAGUGCUCACUGGAAGGACGGAUCCUGAAGCUGAGGCUCCAAUACUUUGGCCACCUCAUGAGAAGAGAAGACUCCCUGGGAAAGACCCUGAUGUUGGGAAAGAUGGAGGGCACAAGAAGAAGGGGACGACAGAGGACGAGAUGGUUGGACAGUGUUCUCAAAGCUACCAGCAUGAGUUUGACCAAACUGCAGGAGGCAGUGGAAGACAGGAGGGUCUGGCGUGCUCUGGUCCAUGGGGUCACGAAGAGUCGGACAUGACUAAACGAC